UAACAUGAAGAGCCAUUGCACACUGUCUACUAGUCGUCGGCGAAUCAGUGCCUUAGCGAUUUAAGAAUUUACCUAGGUCAGUUAGGCAAGUACAUAAGAAUAGUUCAACAAGCCGAGGACCCGCAAGCAAAUGUAGUAAAAUCAAACAGUCGCUCUGACUGUGUCGCCUGUCCCGUAGACUAGUCGACAGUGUGUAAUGACUUUAAAUUAAGCAAAGAAGUUUUUCUUACAUUCACUAUCUGGGCCAGCUGCCAAGUCUCCAUACUUUCAUCUCAAUAAUCAGGUUAACGUAUUAGUUAUAAAAGGUGAUAUUUAAAAGAUGGCUUCUUUCUUACUUCACAUCCUCACGGCUUUGCUGAUUUUUACGUUUGGAGUUCGGGUAGCGAAAAAGUAUAACGUUGGUCAGAAAUAUUUUGUCAAGCUGGAUUGGUCGCCACAUAUGCCUAACUGGUGUGAGAAUGCCCAUCCAUCAUACGACAUCCCGCCAAAGAAGAAGUUAUUUUCAUACGGCUCUCAAAAGUCAAACGAGAAGAAGGAAAAAAAGAAGAAGGUAAAAGUAAAAGAGGCCAAGACAUAA